rnacentral:rRNA from 1 species
GUAUCUUGCUAGAAAGCCACGGCUAACUACGUGCCAGCAGCCGCGGUAAUACGUAGGUGGCAAGCGUUAUCCGGAAUUACUGGGCGUAAAGAGUGAGCAGGCGGUUAGAUAAGUCUAUGGUUAAAUGCAACAGCUCAACUGUUGUUCGCUAUAGAAACUAUUUAACUAGAGUGCGGGAGAGGUAAGUGGAACUCCAUAUGUAGCGGUGGAAUGCUUAGAUAUAUGGAAGAACACCAGAGGCGAAGGCGGCUUACCAGUCCGUAACUGACGCUCAGUCACGAAAGCGUGGGGAGCAAAUAGGAUUAGAUAUCCUAGUAGUCCACGCCGUAAACGAUGAGAACCUGAUGCAGGAGAUAUUCUGUGUCGAAGCUAACGCGUUAAGUUCUCCGCCUGGGUACUACGUUCGCAAGAAUAAAACUUAAAGGAAUUGACGGGCGCCCGCACAAGCAGUGGAGCAUGGGGUUUAAUUCGUCGAUACACGAAAAACCUUACCAGGGCUUGACAUCCCGCUAAAAGCCUUAGAAAUAAGGAAAUAGUUAUAGCGGUGACAGGUGGUGCAUGGUUGUCGUCAGCUCGUGCCGUGAGGUGUUAGGUUAAGUCCUCAAACGAGCGCAACCCUUGUCUUUAGUUGCCAUUAUUAAUUUAGGAACUCUAGAGAGACUGCCGGCGCAAGCCGGAGGAAGGCGGGGAUGACGUCAAAUCAUCAUGCCCUUUAUGCCCUGGGCCACACCCGUGCUACAAUGGUCGGUACAAAGAGAAGCAACACUGUGAGGUGAAGCAAAUCCCAUAAAGCCGAUCUCAAUUCGGAUUGAAGUCUGCAACUCGACUUCAUGAAGCUGGAAUUGCUAGUAAUCGCAGAUCAGCAACGCUGCGGUGAAUACGUUCUCGGGCCUUGUACACACCGCCCGUCACACCAUGAGAGCCGGUAAUACUCGAAGUCGUUAGCCUAACCGUAAGGAGGGCGGCGCCUAAGGUAGGACUGGUGAUUGGGGUUAAGUCGUAACAAGGUAUCCCUACGAGAACGUGGGGAUG